rnacentral:rRNA from 1 species
AUUGAACGCUGGCGGCAUGCUUUACACAUGCAAGUCGAACGGUAACAGGCCUUCGGGUGCUGACGAGUGGCGCACGGGUGAGUAAUGCAUCGGAACGUGCCCAGAGGUGGGGGAUAACGCAGCGAAAGCUGUGCUAAUACCGCAUGUGAUCUGAGGAUGAAAGCGGGGGACCAGGCAGCAAUGUUUGGCCUCGCGCCUUUGGAGCGGCCGAUGUCAGAUUAGGUAGUUGGUGGGGUAAAGGCCUACCAAGCCGACGAUCUGUAGCUGGUCUGAGAGGACGACCAGCCACACUGGGACUGAGCCACGGCCCAGACUCCUACGGGAGGCAGCAGUGGGGAAUUUUGGACAAUGGGCGCAAGCCCGAUCCAGCAAUGCCGCGUGCGGGAAGAAGGCCUUCGGGUUGUAAACCGCUUUUGUACGGAACGAAAAGGCUCUGGCUAAUACCUGGGGCUGAUGACGGUACCGUAAGAAUAAGCACCGGCUAACUACGUG